ACCCGAUACCAUUCCGAACUCGGAAGUGAAACCGCCCAGCGCCGAUGGUAGUGUGGGGCUUCCCCAUGUGAGAGUAGGUCACUGCCAGGC
rnacentral:rRNA from 1 species